rnacentral:tRNA from 3 species
GGGCCGUUAGCUCAGUUGGUAGAGCAGCUGACUCUUAAUCAGCGGGUCGUAGGUUCGAAUCCUACACGGCUCA